ensembl:lncRNA
CCCAGUUUUGCCAGGUGGCGUACAGUGGUGCUGUGCCAGGUGAUGUCUGCUGUACGCCGUGUACAGAGCUGUCAGCUGCAAUAAUCAGACACAGUGUACUCAAGGAAACCUUCUGAAUAACUGCCAAGCAGGAUUUAUUACAAACUCCUCGUGCACCACUUGUAACCCUUCGAUAUACAUUGCUGUGAGGAAAAGCAACUCCCUCCCUCUAAAUCAAAAAAUGGAGAUAAUUAACACGUUUUUAUCCUACGAAGGAAUCAUGAGACUUGGAACAUGGGCUGUUGUAACCAGCUUCUUCCCAAGAGUUUGCAUGGUGUGGCUUGCCCAGUUUCAAGAUGUACUGCAGUUUUUUUUAAUAGGGAAACCUAUGCUAGUAGCAGAAGAUUUAAUGGGAAUCCCAGUGCUCUAUGAAUGUCCCAAGCCGGAGCAGCAGUCCUGCACCAGCAGCUCUCAAGGCAGAGCAGGCAGCUUUGUGGGUUAGCAAGCCCUGAGGAAAAAGCAGAGUCCUCAAAGGACUGAAAUAGCAAGCCUACUAGAAGCAGACCUGGGUUAUGCUUAGGGGUACUGAUGUGCCCAGCAGCUCCCACGGCUGUGCAAGGCAGGAGCCUGGGCCAUGUCCUGCUGCAGGAGUGACCUUUGCAAACAGAAGUGUGGCUGUGAGUCCAGCAGCGAAAGCAGGAAUGGGUCUGGCAGGGGAUAUUUUACCUUUCCUUCGCUUGCUCUCUGUCCCACAGCUUUUGUGUUUUGUUUUGUUUUGUUUUGAAGAUCAGCUGAUUCAGAGCACAACACAAAGGAACUCUCCCUCUGUUUUAAAAGCCAUCUCCAGCCCCACUUUGAGUUCAGAGUCAAAAUCUGGCAGGAGAAGUGAGAGGAGUUCCUUGCAGUUGCUUUUUGUGAAAGGUUUGGGACUUCAAAGUUACAUACCAGGGAUUCAUAGCACAUUUUGUACCUAUUUUGUUAUAAUAUACCCAUAACGAACCACUCAGGAGGACUUCUCAGCACACAUCAGGCCAAAUCAGCAGUGUGCUGGGAGACCAAGGAGCUGUGCACGCAGGCACUGUUUGGGCAGCGAGCCUGGGGCUUGCCAAAUCUCACUGGGAAGUAUUGUGGCCAUACAUGAAGACCUGCACCGAGUUUGCACCGACAUUCUAAGUCCCUCAGUCAUUCCAUUGGGAGCAGCUAUAAAUUGUAGUUCUUGUGGCAGAAAAUACUCAAACCAGAAGCUCUAGCCAGCAGUCCACAGAGAUCACGCAGUUGGCAACCUCGCCUAUGGUACAGGGGUUGGAGUUCGGUGAUCCUUGAGGUCCCUUCCAACCCAAGCCAUUCUAUGAUUCAAUGAUUCUGUGAUCACAGUGUUUCUCUGCAGUGUCAGCUGGGAAGAAGGGGUCUUUCCUGCCUUCAGUUUAGGAUUUUUUUUUUCUGUUUCUAUGCUUGCAUGUGGAUCUUGCGUCAUUAAAUACAGAGCUGUAGAUUUAUCAGCUGCUUUGUUCUGUGCAAGUAAUUCACUCUGUUUGCAGCUCAGCCUCAUCCUGCAGUUAAACUCACGUGCUUUGGUCUGUCAUGCCAGCAUGGUCUAAUUCCACAGAUCACAAAAAUAAUAUUCCAAGUCUAAUCCCAAAGAAAGGAUUACUGGGGAUCAAAUCCAUUAUUUCACAAUAAAUCCCUUUUAUGUCCAUUUUUUUUAAUCAGUGAUCAAAGCAAGUGGAUUUCAGUUCUAAAAGCACUGCUGCCACACAACAGAGGAGAUCCUUGCCCUCGUGAACCAAGGAGAUCCCAGGCAUCCCAGAAAAAAAUGGGAAGAGGAGGAAGUUCUUGUUGUGCCCUGGAAAGAGCAGAUCUGGCCAAGAAUGUGCAACUGACUCCCUUUGCGUUGUGAUCACCUGCAGAUCUCGAAAGUGCUUCUAGAGAGAAACACUGCUUCCCAGCUUUCAUUUAAUGAAAAAAGAAGCAAGCAGCAUUAACACAUGAAGCAAAAUCCUCUGAGAUGUUCCCAUCAGCUCAACACACACAAAAAAAAACUUCAGCGGAUUGAGCAGUGUUCAAAAAUACAUCCAAAGGAUGCUCUUCCACAUCAAACAGCACUGGCGUGCUCUUGCACAGGCUUCCAGAUGGUCCAUCUUUGGAGCCUUUUCUUUUAAGCGGAUAGCCUGAGGCACAACAGGACCAUAUCACUGCUUUAUUUAGAGCACAGAAAAUAAAAAGUCCUCCUUAGCAAAAAGAAAUUAUUUUUCUAAAAAUAAAGAUCAGUUUUCUCAGAUUUCCUUUUUAUUCUUCUUCCCCACAAAAACACAUUAAAGAGCACAGCUCUGCUGAGGUUAAAAGAGCCUCUUGGUGGUUGAUAGCUCCUGUAUUGCAGUCCUUAAUUCACAGAUACAUCUUUUUCUUUUCAAUUCUAAAUUAUGCACUCUGUGCUCGACAACUUCAAGUGUACCAGAACGGGAUAGUUUUCGAGCCCAUACACUGUGAAUCUGUUUCUUAAGCAGCUUUCAAGGUUUUCAGAAAGGAGCCAUUAAAAUGAUAUCACACUCCAUUUCAGCAAAACAAAAAUACUGAUUUGUUGGGGUCUACUAUGAAACCAAUUGACUUCGGGAGGAAAAUCUUAAAUCUUGAUAACUAUAAACUGCUUAAAUGUGACAGGCUGAUCACAGAGGUUGUGGAGUCUCCUUCUUUGGGUCUGGAUGCUGUUCUGUGCAACCUCCUGUAUGGAAUCUGCUUUAGCAGGGGCUGGAACUCAAUAAUCCUCCCUUCCAACUCCUACAGUUCUAUGAUCCUGUGCUAUUAGAACAGGUCAUAAUAUCACAGAAUAUCAAGGAAAUAACCCAGCCACGCAUCUCCAGAGGUUUCAGGGCUGUGAACUGAGCAAGUUGUUUUCCCCAGCUCUGUGUUCUGAAUGACCAAACAAGCACUUGGUGUUUUUGCAAGCUUUAUACGAAAUGGACCUUUGUCUCUGCUGAUGUCACCACGUUUCAUCACAAGUUGAUAUAGAGCAGUAAAAUCCAACAUUACUACACUUGUGCAGUCCAACAAUGCAAGACCUGCAUGUUAAAUCUGCCUAGAACAUGCAGUGUUAAGAGUACAGUAGUGUUGUCCCACCCAUGCCCAGCUUCAGACUUAUUAUUUGAAUGUGUUAUCCUAGCUCUAAUCAGAAGAAGAAGAAGAAUGGCACAAACCUCACUUUGAUAGUGGUUAUUUUCAAUGUGGUCUCUGAGGUCUACAGGAAAAAUGACCAAGGGGGUAAUAAGGAAGGGCAUACAUGUGAGGUAUAAAUCAAAACACUUUACUAGUUCUCUGUUCUUCCUUCAAAUAUUUGUUUCACCAUGAAUCACAGAAUCAUAUGCAGAAUGGAGGGAUGGGUCUAUCAAAGAUGACCAGGGUCUGGAUGGGCAUAUCCCAGUCAUGCCACAGGUCACAGCCAUAGCUUCAGUGCAGUGUGCUGAUGUGCUGGGGCUCCAAGGCACAUCUCCUCCCAAAAAUAUACAGCUUAAGCAGACACCUGGGAAGACCUGCAAGAAGCUGUUGGUUUAGGAACCUUACAUGCAAUCCUCUCUCACACUUGGAUUUCCUUGAGAGAUCACUGCUGCAGGAUGCUAAGAUGAGCAACAUGAGUCAAUCAGAAAUACAAAGCCACUCGGUCUCAACAAAAUGCUUGGUUGUGAGUCAAACAAUACAAGUUUUGAAAACUAUUUCAGACUAAAUUCUUCCUCAGGACAUGGCCUCCAAGGGUGAAAGCUUGGUCCCACUGAGGCCAAGAGCAAAAUUCCUGCAGACCUCAGCAGGACCUGGCUCGUACCCAAAGCAAACUUUUCAAGUCCCAGCCAAACUCUUCAGCUGCAGACGUUCAUUUCUAUUAUUUUUGUAGCCUUUUUGUCCUGCAAAAGGGAUCCUUCUGCAUUGUCCAUCCAACAGUCAUUAACAAGAUGGAAGAAAUAUAAUUUGCUGUUGAAAAAAAAAUCUAUAAAUUAUUUUUUUCAAUUAGAAAUGAUAUGUCUGUAACAUGGUCUCCAAGUGUGUCAGUGGAAGUCUGGUCAGUGGAAGAGACCUGCAUAGCUCAAAACCUUCUGGGACUGGGAUUAUGCUCUGUUCUAUUUCACCUAACCCUACAGGAUCCUGCAUCUGAAACAGGGGCCUUCCAGGAACUUGGUAAAAGCAAUUAUAAACACAAGUAUUUUAAUUUUAGCCCUGUUGACUUUCCUUCUGCCAUUAUUGUUUGUCAUUCCCAGCAGACUGAAGGCAUUUUGCCUCAUGGGGAACUGCACUGUAACGAUUUUAAAGCACACUCCAAUUUUACAUUUGGAACAACGUUAACAAGUAAAACAUGAACUGUCAGUUUUACAACAAGUUUUUUAACUUCUGAUUAUUUGUUUUAAAGCUUGCAUUCCUGAAAACCAGUAGUUACAUCAAUUCUCCUUGGUGUCAGAAGAAAAUGUCUAGGACAUGCCUACGGGGUAUGGCUCAAAAUGCUGACCCCAAGCAUGUCGGCAAAACUAGAAAGCAAAUAGACCAUGUUCUCUGAGAUCACCAAUGGUCUAUCUGGGUCAUCACAUGCUGGCAGUGCUUCUCGUGUUAAAAAGUCAAGAAAUUGUGCCACAAGAUUUACCUACUGUACGACCACAGGAAUAUAGUCUAGACCAGACCUGAGUUCAGAUCUCAACUCUCUACCGAUACCCAGACAUUUUCACCAUAUGCUUGUAAUUAUGAAAUCAUUCUCAUCAGCAAGAAACACAAUACACUUUAAAGGAAAGAAAAUAAACUAGGCCUUAAUUUUACCUUCAUCUACUCCCCACACACACUGACAUUUUUAUGCAACUGGAACAGGGACUCGCCCUUCUCAUUUCUAUAUGCCAAGUUGGUUUGCUGACACAUUAUUAGACUCCACAAAUCUCUGGCUUUGUCCAGGAAAGAAAGUCAGGCUCCAGCAAAAGCAAGCUGCGUUGAACUUGCUCAAACAUGCAUAUUUCAAGCACUGUCUUCUCCCACAGCUCAAAGGACAUUGCGACACCAUCCAGAUAAAAUUUUAGUGCAACAUGCCAAAGCAGUUGCUUACAUUAAGGUUUGGUCCAAGCCACUAAAAGUAGAAGUGAAUGUAGAUCUCGAGAAACGCAUGGCUACUUUACCCUCUGAGUUUUCCAAAGCUUUUGCCCUUGGACACAGGAACUUCCAGCCUUCACAUCAUGGGGCUGCCCCUUGCCAUUGAGGUCAGGUCAAAUGAUUCCACUAGUAUUGGCUCCAGCUUUUCUCUCUUCUGAUGCAGCACCUGUGUGGUUACAACUCUGCUUAUGGUGACAAGCAGUAAGUGCUGAAAAUUUUAGUGAUACCAAAUGUGCAUCAUUUUGGCAUGUCUUGAGUCCAUUCAACCUUUCAAAUUGCAGCACGGAAAGAGAAUGGGCAAGCUGCAUCUCUGAAACAAGCUGGAAGUACUACUGAUGACUAUAAGAACCACAGCUGUUUCUUUUGAAGGUCUUCUAGUUCUCCAAAAGAGAUACAAGCAACAGAAGACAGGUCAAGCUUGAAAGUAAGGCUACUAUAGACCCAAACACGUUCCUGUAGAAGCAGCUGCAGGAUGGCCCAGAUGCAUGAACUUAAUUCUGAUUCAAAUGUGCUUUCAGAGCAGUUUGGCACAUUAGAUAGUAUUUGGUCAUGUUCACACAUACAUCAGGAAGUUUCUAGUUUGCCAGAUACACUGGCCAUCUUGUAUUGCUUUCAGGCAGCCUCCCUCAUCUGGCUUUCACAAUAUAACAGAAUUCCUGAGAAUAUUUUGCUGUAAAACUAAGCUUUGCCAGAGGGAGAACUUCACAUGCAAAUGACUUCUGCAUCACCCUUGAAGAACCAGUCCACAGAGCUACAUAUAAUGUCUCCUUCCUCUAUCUGUUCACCUCAGAUCAACCCCUUGUAGGAAAUUUUAAGUACUGCAGUCAUCUGUGAGUCAUUCGUGGCAUCUAUGCCACGCAUAUAACCACCUGAAGUGAGCACCAGAGCCAAGCUUCAUGCUCUGGAAGAACACGCUGUUCCCUCUGUCACACGUCUUAGUCCUUUGGUGGCUGCUGUAAAGGCCCUUCCUCCUGCUACGGUCACAAAGAGGAAAGGAUGGAAGACAUUUUAUAUAUAUAGUUACAUUCACAUUAUGUGCACAUACAUAGUUGAAAACAAAUGAAUGUACCAAAUAAAUGGGGAGUUUUUGUAGAGCUUGUUAUCUCAAAGUUGAUUUUCCCUGGGAUCAAAGUCCAACUUCUCCCACAGCCCAAACCACUUUCUGACCAAAUUCUGAAAAUUCCUGUUCUUCACCCAAAAAGGAAAACAGGCAGCUCCCACUGCUUUCUAAGCCAUGUGUUUUCCUCUGUAGGAGAAACCCUUUGUAUUUUUGACAACUUCCUCAAGUUAGCGGCAGUUGAGAAGCAGAUGACGUCUGUGGUAUACCAAAACCCCAGUGCCCUGACGCACAUUUGCCCUGGAUCACGAAAUGAGUUGCAAAAUGAUGACACCGUGAAAAUGCCAGAUAGCAUCAGCAAAAGCCGGGAUUUCUUUGAAGGGAGCAGCCAUUUUCCCCUCCCAAAACAAGCUAAUGUAUGAGAACGAGGAGAACACAUGUCUUACUGAUGCAACCCCCAUGGUGAGCAGGUUGUAAAUCUCCACUCUAAGCAGGACAUCAGCUUAUAUGCAGGAAUAAAGGCUCGGAGUACUUGAGCAGUUGGCCACGGACGCACAAACUCUCACACCUUAAGAAGACACCAAAUACUUGUUUCCACCACAAUGGAAAUAAUAAAGUCAUUUUCUUUUCUCUUUCUUUUCAAGUGCUGUUGAGGGUUUUUCCUCAACGAAAUGGUGUUC